GCGGGUGUGGUGUAGCGGUAACAUGCGAGCCUUCCAAGCUCUUGUCACGGGUUCGAUCCCCGUCACCCGCU
rfam:Synechococcus phage S-SM2, complete genome.